UCAAUAUUAUAUGUAAUAUUAGUUAUACUUAUCAACAGAAAUACGACUCAAUAUUUUUUCAAUGCUAUAUAUUUUAAUAUUUUUAUUUUUUGUGACCCAGUGAUAUUUUUUUUACCUCUUAAAGUGGAUAGUGAGAAUUAAGCCUGCAAAAAAGUGAAGAAGGUGGGUAAGUUUUUUGCUUUAGAAAAAAAAUAAAUAAAUAAAUAAAAAUUAAAAUAAAAUAAAAAUUUGAAUUGAGAAUUUUAAUAGGAUGGCAGAAUAUAGACCAUAAGGGAUGUAACCUACAUAUUCAUGCGGCACACUCCCAUAUUCCCAUGAAACUCAAUCUUGUCAAAGAGAUGCUCGUAGUCCGUGUAGACUCCCAAGGUCCACGUGGCAUACCCCACACAAGUUGAGCUCGUGAACUAUCGUAUGUCUCGAUAACAACGCCUGAACAAGGGUGCUUGAAGUUUUCAUGAGCAUCAUGGAUCAGUUGUAGAGGGCCAUGGCUUACCAUUGCCAAACUCAUUGGCCUAGUCAAGGAGAUGGUGAAAUCACAUGACUGGAUCACACGGAGAGAAUAACACUGAUAAUCAAAUUAAUUAUUCUCACCUACUGCAGUUUUUAAAAUGAUGUGCUUUUAAUGCAACAGUGCUCUUCUCGAGUUAAAUGACCGAAGUAACCCUAUCAGACCUGAUCCAAUUGUGAGGUCUCGAUGGUUUCCCCCACAAUUGGAUCAACACUGUUCAAUGGUCUCCCUCACUGAACCAAGCUUCUUUCUUCGUUUCCCAGAAGUGUUCACACAGAUCCAAUUGCAAACAGAGUUCUUAAAGAUUCCUCACUGUGCUGGAUCAAAAUCAUUCAUUCGUUUCUUCGAGGAACAAGUAAGCUGCUAUUUAAGUUAAUUUUGUUCUCUAGGUGGUUUUAACUCAUUUGUAAAUAUGGAUUGCUCUUCUCAUACAAAUAAUUAGCUCAGAAAAUGGCAUUACAAUGUCAAAUAGAUAGUGCCUUUUUCUAAGUCAAUUGAGAGAUCACCACUAAUUUUAAAUAUUCUCCAUUCAUUUCCUAAUCGAUACCCUGCGUCUUAUUUGCUUGUUAUUCUUCACUGAUGCGCUUCAAAUUUUGGAUAAUUUUUAUCUGCAUUUAAAAUUUUGAUUAAUCUCAUUUUGUUCAUUUAUAUUAGGGAUAUUUCAGGAAAAUAAGGAUCACUCCAAUAAUUAUACAUGGUGAAAUGAUAGUUUUGAGUUAAGAAUGACUUAUUCAAGGAAACUUUGAAUUUACGAGAGUGUUUUAAUGUAUAAUUUAGAAAUGGUAAAAGAAAAUGAGAGUUUUAAGUAAAAAAAUGACCUUAUUCAAGGUUGCAUUGAAGUCAAGAGAGUGUUUUAAUUUGUAACGUUAGAAACUUUGAAUGAAAACCAGAGUUUUGACUUAAAAAUGACUUUAUUCAAGGUACCUUGGAAAUCACAAGAGUGUUUUAAUGUAUAAAGUUCGAAACUUUGAAUGGAAAUGAGAGUUUUGAGUAAAAAGUGACCUCCUUCUAGGUAUUUUUUAAGUCACAACUAUGAAGUUGUACAAAGUUACUAGUUAAGCUAAUCUGAAACUAAAUUAGUUGUUGCAUUAAACAAUAAAUUGCUGCCAAAACAAUUCAGAAACAUAAGAUACAAACAUUAAUUUCAUAAAAUUUACAAUAAGAAAUUUGAAUAAGAAACAAAAACAAGGACAGAGAAAAGAAUAUUAUACUACACAUACAUCAUACAUGAGUAGAAGACUUUUUUUUUUUAAAAGACAAAAGAAAAAAGGUGGAAGAAAAAGAAGAAGAAAAGAAAAAUGAGAAGACUUUGAAUGGAAGGACGAUUAGGAUUUGAUUGAAGAGGAGGAAUGCAAUUAUUUUUUUUUUUAUGUUGAAGAGAAUCAAAGAAAUGUGAAGAAGUUGUACACAAAACAAGGCAUGGAUUAUUAACUAGUGAGGGAGGGCAUUUUGUAAAAUUUCACAAAAUCACAUCUAUAAAAGUAAUAAAAAAUUAAUAAUAAUGUACAAAAGACAUUUACAAACUCUUCAUGCCAUAUCUACAUAAC